AGUCAGGCUCAGUCAAGUGGUUACUUCGUUUACUUACUGUAACCUUUCAUUAGCGUUGAAAUGUUUGACUUCUCCUCUUCCGGAAAUCGGAGGAGAGAGGUUAAUGACCGCUGACGCCAUCCUGACUUUUG
rnacentral:vault_RNA from 1 species